UAGGCCUCAGACUUUGAAUAGAGAAAC
rnacentral:piRNA from 1 species